rnacentral:rRNA from 1 species
UACGUAGGGGGCAAGCGUUGUCCGGAAUGAUUGGGCGUAAAGGGCGCGUAGGCGGCUCUGUAAGUCUGGAGUGAAAGUCCUGCUUUUAAGGUGGGAAUUGCUUUGGAUACUGUAGGGCUUGAGUGCAGGAGAGGUAAGUGGAAUUCCCAGUGUAGCGGUGAAAUGCGUAGAGAUUGGGAGGAACACCAGUGGCGAAGGCGACUUACUGGACUGUAACUGACGCUGAGGCGCGAAAGUGUGGGGAGCAAACAGG